AAACUAGAUACAAGCGAGCGGCGGACGGGUGAGUAACACGUGGGUAACCUGCCCAAGAGACUGGGAUAACACCUGGAAACAGAUGCUAAUACCGGAUAACAACACUAGACGCAUGUCUAGAGUUUGAAAGAUGGUUCUGCUAUCACUCUUGGAUGGACCUGCGGUGCAUUAGCUAGUUGGUAAGGUAACGGCUUACCAAGGCAAUGAUGCAUAGCCGAGUUGAGAGACUGAUCGGCCACAUUGGGACUGAGACACGGCCCAAACUCCUACGGGAGGCAGCAGUAGGGAAUCUUCCACAAUGGACGAAAGUCUGAUGGAGCAACGCCGCGUGAGUGAAGAAGGGUUUCGGCUCGUAAAGCUCUGUUGGUAGUGAAGAAAGAUAGAGGUAGUAACUGGCCUUUAUUUGACGGUAAUUACUUAGAAAGUCACGGCUAACUACGUGCCAGCAGCCGCGGUAAUACGUAGGUGGCAAGCGUUGUCCGGAUUUAUUGGGCGUAAAGCGAGUGCAGGCGGUUCAAUAAGUCUGAUGUGAAAGCCUUCGGCUCAACCGGAGAAUUGCAUCAGAAACUGUUGAACUUGAGUGCAGAAGAGGAGAGUGGAACUCCAUGUGUAGCGGUGGAAUGCGUAGAUAUAUGGAAGAACACCAGUGGCGAAGGCGGCUCUCUGGUCUGCAACUGACGCUGAGGCUCGAAAGCAUGGGUAGCGAACAGGAUUAGAUACCCUGGUAGUCCAUGCCGUAAACGAUGAGUGCUAAGUGUUGGGAGGUUUUCCGCCUCUCAGUGCUGCAGCUAACGCAUUAAGCACUCC
rnacentral:rRNA from 1 species